rnacentral:lncRNA from 1 species
GAGACGAUGGAUCUGACAGGCGGGCCCCGCCUGUCAGCCUUGGGCGCGCACGUGCGGGCGAAGCUGGGCCGGUUCGGCCCAUUUGGCCGGGCCGGUCCGGUUUUUUUUUCUUUUUCUUUUUCCUUUUUCUGAUUUCUUUGAUAUCUUUUGAUUUUGAACUCCAAAUUGGUCCAAAUAAAUUCCAGAAAAUUUGUAAAAUGAUGUUUUAUCAUGAUUCAACUUUUGUGAGUAAUUUCCCCUCAAAAUAAAAUAUAUAAAAAUACAUUUGCCCUAUAAAUGCCUUUAGGGCUGUAUAACUAUUUAAAUAAAAUUGUUUUUCAACUACAAAUAAUUAUCCAAAAAUUAUGGGAUAGCUUAUUUAUGCAAUAAACCCCAUUUAUAGAUAAACCCUAUUG